rnacentral:lncRNA from 1 species
GGAAAGGAAAAUUUUGGCAGUUACAGUUGGUAAGGUGAAGGAUAGAGAGGUAUAUUUUGAGAAAGAAAUUAUAGAUGGGAUAGCAGUUUAAAUUAUUGUGGUGUCACAUAAGGACUCUUAUCCUGCCCCCUGACUCUUAUCUCAGGUGGUGGGAUAAAGCAGGUGGGGAUAAUGCUUUUUGAUUACUCUUGAAUACCUGUCUUUGGUUCUAUUUGUUGUUUUGCCAUGAAAGUAAUUUAAAAUUCUAGAUUAAUGAUGCCUAAGUUCAAGUAUUAGGUCUGAUUUGGAGGGAUCAAAGUUUACUGUAAGUGCUGAUUUAUCAUUUUAGAUUUAUCUAUCCCAGCACUUCCUUAGUGUUUCUCUCCUUCCCAUUCUUUCUUCAGAGCAAUGGAGAAGAGAUAGAGUGUGCAAGGGGUUGAAGAAAAGGACCAAGACUAUUUUCAAAUUAUCCACUGCACUACUGGAAAAGUAACCACAGUUGUUGAGGAUUUCACAUAUGGACUCUGGAGCUCAUGUUCUAAAGCCCUUUCCAGGCUCAGUGGAAUACCUCUCUUUCAAGGACAGUGUGAAGAGUGAGAACACCACGUAUAUGUGGACAGAAGUGGCUAUUUUGCCUUAGAGAUGGUGGUCAGAAAAAUAUUUGGAGCUUAAUAUAUUAACCAGUUCUCUGCUGGCAUGUAGAGUUUUUUUUUUUUUUUUUUCCCAAGCAGGAAGAUUAAAUUUAUCCUACAUAAGCAAGGAAAAAACUAAUUCAAAUUUAACAAGUGCUUAAAUAGUAUACAUAAUUUAAUUCUGAAAUUUUAUAAUUACACUUUGGACUGUCUUGAUUUCUGGGAAGAAAUUUUGAUGGAGUUAUAAUGUUUAAUUAGAUAAAUUUACAUUCUUUGUGGGAAUAAGGUAAAAGGGAGAAAGCCUAUGAUUUUGCAUCAUGCAUAACUAAUGAAUUUUGUAAGACUCAUAGACAAAAGAUUUUCUUAACAAAUAUUUUAGAAGAAAGAGGCUCAAUGGAGAUAAAAAGACAGUAGCAAUAGUUGGGGUAAAAUAUUUAAACACUGAAACAACAGAAUUGGAAUUGAGAAUAUUCUGUAUCUAGAAAACUUUUUUCUGUGAGUUUUCUUGGUACCUCAUUGUCUAUUGAGAGUAUACCUCUGGUCAGUUAAAAUAUUGUCAAUAGAAAAAAGUCAAUUUUAGGUUUCUGUAUAUCUGUUUGUAUCAAUAAAUAAAAAUAAAAAUAUAUAGAAACAAUUUUAGGCCUCAACUAUUAUCACAAAAUGUAAUUUUAAGAUGAUUGCAAAUAAUUUUAUAUAUGGAGCUCUUUAAAAAUAUAUACAUUCUUCUGUAAAACACCAUUGACAGUAUUAGAAACAGAUACAGUUGAAAAGCUGAUUAAAAGAUUGUGAAUAUAUUCAAAGGCUGAUUGAUCUACUUACAUCAUUUUUUCAUGUUCAGAUACUAAAAAUAAAGUAGUACUUUUUCUUUGCUUCAGUAUACCUUGAUGAAUGUAUGCUUUUUAAGAAAAAUUUUUCUUUUGGAAAUAUUUUUUGAUGGAUCUGUUUUAUAAGAACAACUCUAUGACAAAAUCAACUUGUUAGUCAAUAAAGAAAAGUUUAAAUGGUUAUUUAUAACAAUCCCCUGCACUCUCAGUUGUGUCUCUAUUUGAAUGAUAAAUACCUUUCCUUCAGGCAUAUUUAGGAAUUCCUAGGACAUGUCUUAUACAUGGUGCAAUAAGUUGACACACCCAGGGCCCUGCUGAAACUUUGCAUUUUCAGCCAGAGUCACCACUGUUCUGUCAGGUUCAUGACUCUGCCAGGUGUUACUACUGCUUGUUAGGAACUAUGGUAGGUGUCAUGGGGUUGGCAGGCAGUGGUGCCUUAUAGUGCAGAGUGGAGUGCUGCUUGGUGGUACAAUGGUUCCUCUGUCUUGACCAGGCCGAAGGUCACCUCAGAUUAGAGGAAAAGUCGGGGAGGCACAGUGUCUCCCAUUUGAUUAGCUCUCUUUCAGAAUCCUAAAAAGUAUGGCUGUGCUUCUUUGAUUCACAGUGUUCUUAGUGAGCUUGCUUAAGUUUUUGCUUAGUGUCCAUCUGAUUUUAGGAUGUGUCUAAGGACUUCCCUUUCAAAUAGAUACCUAUCAGUCUAUCCUCGAGUUUAUGAGACAUUUCCAGCUAUGUAUCAUACUUAGCAGUGGCAUAACUUCAGUUGUUUCCCAGGAGAUUCCU